AAACUAACAGAUUUACUUCGGUAAUGACGUUAGGAAAGCGAGCGGCGGAUGGGUGAGUAACACGUGAGGAACCUGCCCCAUAGUCUGGGAUACCACUUGGAAACAGGUGCUAAUACCGGAUAAGAAAGCAGAUCGCAUGAUCAGCUUUUAAAAGGCGGCGUAAGCUGUCGCUAUGGGAUGGCCCCGCGGUGCAUUAGCUAGUUGGUAAGGUAAAGGCUUACCAAGGCGAUGAUGCAUAGCCGAGUUGAGAGACUGAUCGGCCACAUUGGGACUGAGACACGGCCCAAACUCCUACGGGAGGCGGCAGUAGGGAAUCUUCCACAAUGGACGCAAGUCUGAUGGAGCAACGCCGCGUGAGUGAAGAAGGUUUUCGGAUCGUAAAGCUCUGUUGUUGGUGAA
rnacentral:rRNA from 1 species